rnacentral:rRNA from 1 species
GAUGAACGCUGGCGGCGUGCUUAACACAUGCAAGUCGAACGGGAUCCCGGGGGUUCGCUUCCGGGUGAGAGUGGCGAACGGGUGAGUAAUGCGUGACCGACCUGCCCCAUACACCGGAAUAGCUCCUGGAAACGGGUGGUAAUGCCGGAUGCUCCGGUUGGAUGCAUGUCCUUCCGGGAAAGAUUCUAUCGGUAUGGGAUGGGGUCGCGUCCUAUCAGCUUGAUGGCGGGGUAACGGCCCACCAUGGCUUCGACGGGUAGCCGGCCUGAGAGGGCGACCGGCCACAUUGGGACUGAGAUACGGCCCAGACUCCUACGGGAGGCAGCAGUGGGGAAUAUUGCACAAUGGGCGCAAGCCUGAUGCAGCGACGCCGCGUGCGGGAUGGAGGCCUUCGGGUUGUAAACCGCUUUUGAUCGGGAGCAAGCCCUUCGGGGUGA